rnacentral:rRNA from 1 species
UGGGGAAUAUUGGACAAUGGGCGAAAGCCUGAUCCAGCCAUGCCGCGUGUGUGAAGAAGGUCUUCGGAUUGUAAAGCACUUUAAGUUGGGAGGAAGGGCAGUAAGUUAAUACCUUGCUGUUUUGACGUUACCAACAGAAUAAGCACCGGCUAACUUCGUGCCAGCAGCCGCGGUAAUACGAAGGGUGCAAGCGUUAAUCGGAAUUACUGGGCGUAAAGCGCGCGUAGGUGGUUCAGCAAGUUGGAUGUGAAAUCCCCGGGCUCAACCUGGGAACUGCAUCCAAAACUACUGAGCUAGAGUACGGUAGAGGGUGGUGGAAUUUCCUGUGUGGCGGUGAAAUGCGUAGAUAUAGGAAGGAACACCAGUGGCGAAGGCGACCACCUGGACUGAUACUGACACUGAGGUGCGAAAGCGUGGGGGAGCAAACAGGAUUAGAUACCCUGGUAGUCCACGCCGUAAACGAUGUCGACUAGGCCGUUGGGAUCCAUUGAGAUCUUAGUGGCGCAGNUAACGCGAUAANGUCGACCGCCUGGGGAGUAACGGNCGGCAAGGUUAAA